UCGGGCUCAGGCUCGGGCUUUUUUCGAGGGAGAUGCUUGAAGAAUGCUUUUACAGCUCCAUCAACACCAUCCUCAUUCUCCAUGUCUUUGGCAAGCUCCACCGCGCGCUCCUUCACCUGACAUGUUAAAUUCAUCGGCUAGUAUAUGUCCAGUGAUUUGACAUUACCUUGGGAUCUAGCAUGAAAUGUAUCGCCUCAACCAACUUGGUAAGUGAGAACUCAUCAACAGGUAUGGGUGGAGGACCUACUCCUCUCGCAUGCAACCGCUCACCCCAGAAGGGUUGGUCACCAAAGAAAGGCACAAUGGUUGUAGGGCACUACAUUCACGAAAGAAGAAGGAUAAAGAAAAAAGACAUAAAGGACAGGAUACAGAAAUCUACAAUACAAACAAGCCGCAGCUAUUACCGCAGCUUUAAGACCAGCAGCUGUUGUUCCAGCACCUCCAUGAUGAACCUACAGCAAAGUGCAAGCUAACAACAAUGGGACAACAAGAUUGACAAAGGAAACACAAAAAUUGAAGAACCCAAUCAACAUCAUCAUCAACUACUCAAACUUUUCACCUCCCAACUCUUUCGCAUUUUAUAGAUUUUGAUGAGUGACAGUUGUUUCUCAAGUAUUAUAUCCAACUGACAAAAGCUGAAAAAUUAAGCCUUACCACUGCCUUGCAUUGCAAGAAUAGCCA